GUGAUCAAGCUGUCUGAGGAAGGAUUACGGGACAGCCAGUACAGUCCCCACGAUCAAAUUGCCCUUAAAAAUCUCCAGUCUGAUGUUCCAGAGAAGAGAUCUGACUUCACUGAGGGGACUCUGGCAUCUCAGAAUACAAAAAUGAUUUCAUCCAUAGUCAUUUCACAGCUGAUUGAUGAGAAUAAAUCAAAAGAAAAUGGGGCCGCGCUGCCUGCGCCGUGUGCAUAUCCCAUGAAGCCGUCUCUGGCUAAUCGCAGCAGAGUCACCAUUAACAGGGCCUUCGAGUUCCUUCCUGGAGGACUGGGAGUUCAGACCCCGGCGGGGGAGCCAGGACUCGAGACCAAGCUGCCGCCCAAGGAGGAGAAGCCAUGCAGUGGUUCCCAGAAGGGCUUUGCAUCCAUCACCAUCACGGCCAGGCGUGUGGGUCCCCCUGCCAGCACCCUGGUGUGGGAGGCUGUUGGGGACCCACUCUGCAUCAAGUGCAGGGCCCAGGAUGCUCUGCUUGGGGACCCCUCUGCUCUGGCUGGCGAUGCCGAUCCAACUCAGCACCAUGGGCCUUUCACCUGUACAGAAUUCUCCAGAAACAGCUGUGUGAUGGGGUCGAAGGUCCCCGAGGCCCAUGCACAGCUGUGUGAGGGACACGGGUACUGGAUCACCAGCGUGGACCACAGGGAGGAUCGUUUUUCUCCAGGCACCUCGCGGUCACGGGCAGGAAAGAGCCCGCUGGUGUUCAGCUCGUGUGUCCAUCUCAGGGUGUCCCAGUCGUGUCCCAAUCCCAUCUACUAUCUGGACAGGUCCCUCUCGGUCCCUGUGGAGCCACCUCAGCUUGCUGGCCCUAAGAUGCACAGAUCCGUCCUGUCCCUCAACCUGAGCUGCAGUUCACACAGGCUGACACCAGAUGGAGUAGAUGACACAGAGAACCGAGAGCCUGGAAGCGGAGCCCUGAAGCCCGAGCUCCGGGAGGGAGACCAGGACCUCCUUGGCCCACGCUGGAACCUGGGUUUGCAAGGAAGUUUCUUGAAGGAAAACCCAUCUUUGGGGCAGAUGCGUUUCGGGAACUUGGAGGCUGGCAGGGGUCCUUGGAGAGGCUCUCUUCCUUCGGAAAAUGCAGAGGCGGGAACUAACCAGAUCACCAUGAGAAAACGGAAGGAGGACCAGGCAACUCGUUGUCCCACCCGUGGUCACCAUCAAGCCAACCAACUGUCCAUUCACAUCCCGGGCUGGAGUUACACAGCAGUAGAACCAAACGUAUUUUCUGGAAGCAGUGAGAAGCAACAAGAAGGAGCACAUGAGACUGUAUCUGCUCCCCCAGUGGAAUGGAAGCUGGUUAGAGACCCCCUUCCAGAUGGUUCUAGCUCUCCAAGCAACAGCUCUCAAUCUAGUGACCUCUCUGAACCCACAGAGAGUCAGCAGCAGCGCCUCCCAAAACCCAAGGUCCCUUUACCAGGGUUCCUUUGCCCCUUCCAAGAUCUGUGCGCAUCUCCGCAGGAAGAACACGGUGUUCAGAUAGAAAGAGAGGCCCCGGAAGGGGAUUACACGUGCUGUGACUUGGUUGUUAAAAUAAAGGAAUGCAAGGAGAGUGAGCACCCCGCCAACCCCGAAUCCAAGCCAGCACCCCCAGAGCCAGCGCCCCCCGAGGACCCAGAGACCCACGUCCAGCCAGAAGACUGUUCUGAGAGCCAGCAAGGGCCCGAAAGCUCCCUGACCUUGCAGGAGGCCCUGGAAGUCCGCAAGCCUCAGUUCAUUUCUCGCUCGCAAGAACGUCUGAAGAAGCUGGAGCACAUGGUCCAGCAGAGAAAAGCCCAGCAGAAGGAGAGCCUGGCUCCAAAGCAGAGUCUCCUUCCUGUCCGCGCCCACAAGAAGCAGGUCACCAUCCCCCACCCUCUCAGCGAUAAUUUGUUCAAACCCAAAGAAAGGUACAUUUCAGAGAAGGAGAUGCACAUGCGAUCUAAAAGAAUCUAUAAUAACUUGCCGGAAGUUAGGAAGAAAAAAGAGGACCAAAAGAAAAGGGUGAUCUUACAAAGCAACAGACUCCGGGCCGAGGUCUUCAAAAAGCAAUUACUGGACCAGCUCCUUCAAAGGAACGCGGUCUAA
rnacentral:lncRNA from 1 species